GCUUGAAGAGGGUGCGGGAAGCGGUGGCGGCCGAGUAACUGUCAUGGAGUUAGUGCAGGAAGUGCGGGCACUGGUUUGCUGGGCGGCCGAAGAGAUGGAGGCACCCGUGGCAGCCCGAGCCCCCGAGUCGACGCUGCGCAGGCUGUGUCUGGGCCAGGGCGCUGACAUCUGGGCCUACAUCUUGCGGCAUGUGCACAGCCAGAGAAAUGUCAAGAAGGUCCGGGGAAACCUACUCUGGUAUGGCCACCAGUGCAGUCCAGAGGCCUGUCGGAAGUUGGAGCUGGAAGCUGCUGUUGCCCACCUGCAGGCAGAGAUCCAAGAGUUAGACCAGAGCUUGGAGCUGAUGGAUCGAGAGACCGAGGCUCAGGACAUGGCCCUGGAGCAGGUGCUGCAGGGCAUACAAGACACCCAGCGGCGUGCUCUCCUCCUCCGGGCACAAGCUAGGGCCAUGCGAAGACAGCAACGUCAGCUUCAACAUCCCGUGCAGUGGCUACAGAAUCAGCUCAGAGGCCUGCAGGACAUAGAGAGGAAGGCCAAAGUGGAUAUAACCUUUGGACCUUUGACGUCAGCAGCCCUGGGCCUGGAGCCUGUGGUCCUGGGUGAUGUCCGAACAGCCUGCACUCUCCGAACCCAGUUCCUGCAGAACCUCCUGAUUCCUCAGGCCAAAGGAGGCAGCAUCCUAACCCCUCAAGAUGACCACUUUGGAACUUCCUACCAGCAGUGGCUUAGCUCAGUAGAGACACUGCUGACAAACCACCCUCCAGGCCAUGUCUUGGCCGCCUUGGAGCACCUGGCUGCAGAGCGGGAGGCAGAGAUCCGGUCCCUGUGCAGUCCAGACGGGCUCCAAGAUACAGAGAUAGCCAGGUCCCAGGUACCAGAACAGUCAGACUCCAGCCAGGCCCUGCCAUCCAUGGUGCAUCUCAUCCAGGAGGGCUGGCGGACUGUGGGUGCGCUGGUCACCCAGCGGGGCCCCCUCCUGGAGGAGCAUCAAAUUCUGACCCGGCACCUCCAGAGCCUGAUGGAGGAGAUGGAGAGAUGUACCCCGGGAUCCAGCGAGAGGCAGGCAUUUUUGCUGGAGCUCCAGAGCUGUGGCUUGUGGGCAAAGCUCAAGGCCCUAUGUACCCAGAGCCACGAGCUGGAGGAGGCUGCUGUGCAGCGGCAGCUUCUGCUGCAGGAGCUACAGGCCAAACAGCAACGGAUCCUGCACUGGCGCCAGCUGGUGGAGGCAACACAGGAACAGGUCCGCCUGCUCAUCAAGGGCAACUCAGCCAGCAAGACACACCUGUGCCGGAGCCCCGGGGAGGUGCUGGCUCUGGUUCAGCGAAAAGUGGCCCCCACAUCUGAGGCAGUGGCACCACAGAGCCAGGAGCUGCUUCACUGUCUGGAGGAGGAGGCCCGACAUCUGCCCCACCUUCUGCUGGGCACCCUGCUUCGGCACAGCCCCGGAGGGCUGCAGCCCCUGCCCACGGUCCUACCAUCCAUCCACCAGCUGCAUCCUGCGUCCUCAAGGGGCUCCAGCCUCAUAGUGCUAGGCCACAUGCUGGGGUUGCCUACAGGGAAGGCUCCAGAGCUGCUUCUCCCGAAGGCCGCCUCUCUUCGCCAGGACCUUCUGUUCCUCCAGGACCAGCGGAGUCUCCGGUGCUGGGAUCUUCUCCACAUGAAGACCAGCCUACCACCAGGACCAUCCACCCAGGGGCUGCUGCAGAUCUGGGCAUCCCAGGAAAAGGAGCAGAAGGAGAAUCUGGGGCAGUCUCUGAAGCAGCUGGAGAACCUGCUGAAACAAGCGCUGGAGCGAAUCCCCCAGCUGCAGGGAGCUGUGGGGGACUGGUGGGAGCAGCCAGGCCAAGUCGCCCUCUCAGAGGAGCUCUGCCAGGGCCUGUCCCUGCCCCAGUGGCGGCUGCGCUGGGUCCAGGCGCAAGGCACCUUGCAGCAGCUGUGCAGAUGAAGAGGGGGCUCAAACAUGACUCAAGAGCUUUACAUUUGUUCACUUGACACCUCCCUCAACAUGGAAGAAAGCUUCACCUAGAAUGUGAGAUCCGUGAAGGUGAAUUCCUCUGUAAACUAGAAGUUGGGCAAACUCUCUGAAAUAUGAGUCAAAACACAGAUGCAAUAAGGGGAAGUAUUGACAAAAACAAACUUUUUACAUUUUGGCAAAAAAAAAAGUAAAAAGAAAUGACAAAUUGGGAAUAAAUUUUUGCAACUUAUACCCGAAAGGGAUGUAUGUGUAUGCACACACGUGUAUAAUAUCAAAGUGGAAAAGAAAAACUCCCAAGUCCAUAGGAAAAUGGGCAAAAUAUAUGGCAUGGACAAUUUUCAGAACAUAUGCUCAAACUCAAUCAUAAGAGAAAAGCAAAUUGGACCACACUUCGAUACAUUUCUCAUCUAUCAGACUGGGAAAAAGGAAACCCAAAAUUUUGGCAGCUCACUCUGUUGACAAGACUAUGGGAAAAUAGCACUCCAGUACAUCAGUAAAAAUCUCCAGCAAAACUACACAGGCAUUUAGUCAUUGCCCAAACAACCCCACUGCUAGGAAUCUAUCCCAAAGAUAUACUGGGUGAAAUGUAAGUUGUGGGACCUCGUACGAAUCAACUAGACCAUAUUCUUCAGAAGGUCAGUGGGGGUAGGGUGGGGACUGAUUCAGAUUAAAAGAGACAUGACAACCAAAUGCAAUGUGGGAUCUUGGUUGAAUCACAGAUUUUUAAAAAUGUGCUUUAAAGUAAAUUUUGGGGACAACUGGGAAAAUUUGAAUAUGGGAAUUUUGUAUAUUACAGACUAUUAUUGUAUUUUUGUUAAAUUUCUUUGGUGAGAUAAUGGUUUUGUGGUGAUGUGGGAGAAUAUUCUUAGAGGAUGUGUUGAAGUAUUAAGGGUGAUGAUAUCUGCAACUUACUUUCAAAUAGUUCAGGCCAGGAAACAAUAAGAUAGAAAGGAGAGGGAUGGAAGCCCAACAUCUCUGAAUGUACAGUUUCAUACUUUUGGCUGUGGAAACAUCUGCUCAUUUUAAACAACGAGAAAAAGAAAAAAGAAAGAAAUCCUUAAAAAUUGAAAACAUGGAAAUAAAUGAACCUAAUUCUAUAUGAAGUUGGUGGCACAACUGUUUUAGAUAAGAAUUGUUUCAGGUUAAAACACAGUGGUUUCAUUUGAUGCCUCCAGUGGUAUGUAGAUCCCAAGAGAAAAAGAACUGCAAUGAAAUCUUAAACUGCAGUCAGUAGUCUUACUGUUCAUAAUACUGGUAUUUUCAUUUAGAAAAAAUAUAUUACAUAUUUGAGACUAUAUUUUAAAAUUAUAUAUUAGACCAAAGCAAAGAAGUAGCUUUGCUAAUGUUACUGGAAACCAAGAUUUUUAAUAAAAUCAAAGAAGUAAAAACCUCAUAAUCUUUCAUUUGAAUUGGAAAUACCAGAAUGAACUCCUGCGUCUUUCUAAAAAUACAUAUUUCCCUCGCAAAGUCCACAGAAAAGGUCUAGAUAGAAUGAUAACUGGUACUAGUGAGCAACCCUAGUGCCCAGGUUGUCGUCCCUAAUUACCAUUUCUGACUAGAAGGAACCAGGGAUUCUUGGGAAAACAGCUGAUUUCAGGUCUGGAACAGGAAGUGUACAAAGUGAGUAUGGGGCAUCUUGUGCCAGAGAGCAAGGAAGUCCUCCAAGACUGCUGGGAUUGAGUCAAAAGAACUGAGUUAAUCUGAAGGGACUGCCACUAGCCG